rnacentral:rRNA from 1 species
CGUCUACGAGUUUGAUCCUGGCUCAGAAUCAACGCUGGCGGCGUGCCUCAGACAUGCAAGUCGAACGAUUAAAGCUCUCUUCGGAGAGUGCAUAGAGUGGCGCACGGGUGAGUAACACGUAAGUAAUCUACCUUCGAGUGGGGAAUAACGUCCGGAAACGGGCGCUAAUACCGCAUAAUGCAGCGGCAUCGCAAGAUGACAGUUGUUAAAGGAGCAAUCCGCUUGAAGAGGAGCUUGCGGCAGAUUAGCUAGUUGGUAGGGUAAUGGCCUACCAAGGCUACGAUCUGUAACCGGUCUUAGAGGACGGUCGGUCACACUGACACUGAAUAACGGGUCAGACUCCUACGGGAGGCAGCAGUCGGGAAUUUUGGGCAAUGGGGGAAACCCUGACCCAGCAACGCCGCGUGAAGGAUGAAGUAUUUCGGUAUGUAAACUUCGAAAGAAUAGGAAGAAUUAAUGACGGUACUAUUUAUAAGGUCCGGCUAACUACGUG